CGUAGGUGGCAAGCGUUGUCCGGAUUUAUUGGGUUUAAAGGGUGCGUAGGCGGCCCUGUAAGUCAGUGCUGAAAUAUCCCAGCUUAACUGGGAGGGUGGCAUUGAUACUGCGGGGCUAGAGUACAGAUGAGGUAGGCGGAAUUGACGGUGUAGCGGUGAAAUGCUUAGAUAUCGUCAAGAACACCUAUAGCGAAGGCAGCUUACUAGGCUGUAACUGACGCUGAGGCACGAAAGUGUGGGGAUCAAACAGGAUUAGAUACCCUGGUAGUCCACACUGUAAACGUUGAUUACUCGCUGUGUGCGAUAUACAGUACGCGGCCAAGCGAAAGCGCUAAGUAAUCCACCUGGGGAGUACGCCGGCAACGGUG
rnacentral:rRNA from 1 species